GCACAUCUAAAAUGGAGUCGUUCUUUUUGUUUCUUUUCAUCUGUUACCUUGGCAAUGCUGCCUAAGAGAGCAAAUGGUUCCUUGUCUUUUGCAACUCACCUUGAGAGGCCUUGGGGGGCUUAGGUGCUAAUUAAGUUGGAGCUGUUGGCCCUGCUAUUGGUAUGAGCUCCAGGAAGCAAAACACCUCUGUUUGUGUGUGUGUGUGUGUGUGUGUGUGUGUGUGUGUGUGUGUGUGUGCAUGUGCGUGUUCCAUUUUCAGUGAUCCGAGGAACUGCUACCAGUGUGAGUUGUUUUGGAAGUCAUAAGCACAACACAUUCUUCAACCCUUGUUUGGGGGUUGACUCAAAAGUCACUCAAAAAUAAUUUGACACUUCAACUAAGUGUGUAUCUGUUUGUUUUGAUGGUUACAGGAUACAUGCCAUAUUUGAAUACUCCCUGCCUCUAAGCAGAAAUGAGCACAUGUGCAUGAAAAGCGAGGCCUCAGCUACUUCUGAUGGUGUACCACUUCCCAUCCUCCACUGCUUAAGGAAGCACCAACCAGCUGGAGUUUGCUUAAAGACAUUGGGAGAGAACUUUAAGCUUCAGGAAGGACAGCUAAUGAGUGACAGCUGA
rnacentral:lncRNA from 1 species